rnacentral:rRNA from 1 species
AGAGAGAGACAUGCGCGCAUAUCAAUAAGCGGAGGAAAAGAAACUAACAAGGAUUCCCCUAGUAACGGCGAGUGAAGCGGGAAGAGCUCAAAUUUGAAAUCUUAAAGGGUUUCCCUUUACGAAUUGUAGUUUAAAGAAGUGUUUUCUGUUGAGGUUUUGGUAAAAGUUCUUUGGAAUAGGACAUCAUAGAGGGUGAGAAUCCCGUAUUUGACCUUUACUUUCAACUUUGUGAUACACUUUCAAAGAGUCGGAUUGUUUGGGAAUGCAGUCCAAAAUGGGUGGUAAAUUUCAUCUAAAGCUAAAUAUUGGCGAGAGACCGAUAGCGAACAAGUACCGUGAGGGAAAGAUGAAAAGAACUUUGAAAAGAGAGUUAAACAGUACGUGAAAUUGUCAAAAGGGAAGCGUUUGACACCAGUGUUGUUUUUCUGAAAAUCAAUUAAAGAACUGUUUAUGCUAAGUUGUUUAGACUUUAUCAGCUAACUGUUUAGUUUUGAGCUUCUCUUUAAUGCACUUUUCAGUUAACAAGUCAACAUCAAUUUCUUUUGCUGUAAAAAAGCUUGAGGAAGGUGGCUUGAGAUUCGUCUUAAGUGUUUAUAGCCUCUUGCCUAUGCAGUCGGAGAGAUUGAGGUCUGCAGCGUAGAUCCCUCGGGGCUAAAUGCAUUUGUGCUAAGUUAUAGCAUUUUAUAGACAACUUGUUGACUAUGAUUUGUCUUGUAGCUUACUCGCUUAUGUUAUUUUACCUACGCUUAGGAUGUUGACGCAUGAGAUAUACGC